rnacentral:tRNA from 8 species
UGCUCCCUUAGCUCAGCUGGAUAGAGCAACUGCCUUCUAAGCAGUCGGUCGAUGGUUCGAAUCCAUCAGGGGGCGUC